UACGGAGGAUCCGAGCGUUAUCCGGAUUUAUUGGGUUUAAAGGGUGCGCAGGCGGAAGAUUAAGUCGGUGGUGAAAUUUUGCAGCUCAACUGUAAAAGUGCCAUUGAUACUGGUUUUCUUGAGUGUGGAUGAAGUAGGCGGAAUUUGUGGUGUAGCGGUGAAAUGCUUAGAUAUCACGAGGAACUCCGAUUGCGCAGGCAGCUUACUAAACCACUACUGACGCUCAUGCACGAAGGCGUGGGGAGUCAAACAGGAUUAGAUA
rnacentral:rRNA from 1 species